UGCUGUGAAAUUUUUGAUAAGCUGAUAGAGCUGGUGGCUCCCUUCCCUCUGGUCGAAGAGGUGGAUUUGCAUGGGCGGAUGCUGCCUUUGAGGAAGUGGGUGAAAGGAAUGGAAAUGGACUAGAUUAGAGUCCAGUGCAGACAGACAGAGACUGCAGACAGAAUCUGAUGCGGCAGUUGGUGGAAGGAGGAUUCUGGGACGGUGGGGUAGAUGUGAUGCUCCGUUAACGGUUGGGGAACAGCACCUGACACAUAGAAAGGGAGAGAGCCAUUCGCUCACCUGUGAAUGCAGCAUGACAUCACUGUGGCACUACCAUCAACUGGCAGCUUGGGGAGCACGGGAAAUGGCCCACUUGAAAGGAUUCUGGGGUCCUCACGGCAGACAUCCAUGACAGAAUGUGAGGUCCUUGGGGCGAGUUCUGGGCUGUCUCCAUCACAGCCCUGCCUGCAGUGUCCAGCCCAAGGCCUGACCCAGAGGAGUCCUCAUCCCUUUCUAGGACCCCAUCUCCUUCAUCCAUACUCCCUGAGAGCAGCAGGAAGGAAGCAAAACAAAACAAGGAAACCAAGAGAGGCAUUUAAAAUAUUUGUCACAUAUUCCAAAAUAGUGAGAUGCAUUUUAAGCUUUCUUCAAAAGAAGAAUCGGACACCCUUGUUCUUGUAGCUGUGUCGACUGGAAAAGCUCUGAGACCUCUUACUUGUGUUUCUAGGCCGUUCUUCAAAGUACUGAACUAUCCCAGAAUGAUUUGUUUCUUUUCUAGGACAUGUGACAAGAAAAAAUAAAUUGUGAUGAUAACCGUCACCUCCUGCCCCUGUCCCUU